UUUAGGUAGAGCGUCAUCCGAAUACCCCCGGGGGUAGAGCACUGGAUGGGUAAUGGGGCCCCACAGGCUUACUGAUCCUAACCAAACUCCGAAUACCGGGGAGUACUAGAUGGCAGACACACAGCGGAUGCUAACGUCCGUUGUGGAGAGGGAAACAACCCUGACCUACAGCUAAGGCCCCCAAUUCAUGGCUAAGUGGGAAAGCAGGUGGGACGACCAAAACAACCAGGAGGUUGGCUUAGAAGCAGCCAUCCUUUAAAGAAAGCGUAACAGCUCACUGGUCUAAAUAAGUUGUCCUGCGGCGAAGAUGUAACGGGGCUAAAGUAAUGCACCGAAGCUUAG
rnacentral:rRNA from 14 species